GAUGAACGCUAGCGACAGGCUUAACACAUGCAAGUCGAGGGGCAGCAUGAUCUGUAGCAAUACAGAUUGAUGGCGACCGGCGCACGGGUGAGUAACGCGUAUGCAACUUACCCAUCAGAGGGGGAUAGCCCGGCGAAAGUCGGAUUAAUACCCCAUAAAACAGGGGUCCCGCAUGGGAAUAUUUGUUAAAGAUUCAUCGCUGAUAGAUAGGCAUGCGUUCCAUUAGGCAGUUGGCGGGGUAACGGCCCACCAAACCGACGAUGGGUAGGGGUUCUGAGAGGAAGGUCCCCCACAUUGGAACUGAGACACGGUCCAAACUCCUACGGGAGGCAGCAGUGAGGAAUAUUGGGUCAAUGGGCGCGAGCCUGAGCCAGCCAAGUAGCGUGGGAGGACGGCGGCCCUACGGGUUGUAAACUCCUUUUAUAAGGGGNUAAAGUUGGCCAUGUAUGGCCAUUUGCAGGUACCUUAUGAAUAAGCAUCGGCUAAUUCCGUGCCAGCA
rnacentral:rRNA from 1 species